AAGUUCAUUUAACAGAAUUUUAUGAGAGGAAAGACUUAUUUUCAGAAAUUAUUCUAUUUUGAUCUAUAACGAAUCGCUUCUGAUUACUGUUUGUUAAUAAUAAGUCACUAAUCAUUAUCAUUAUGGAAUCACAUUAAAUUAGAUAAUAUCAAAAAGAUAAAAUUAUUGAGUUACGAUGGGCAAAGGUUCCCCAAAAUAGGAUAAGGAGCCAAAUUAUUCUCAUAAUCCUCUCUUCAAUUCAAGAAGGAACUAGUGUUCUCUGAAUCAUAACAAUCUAGAUACUUAAAGCGUAGUGCUCUCUGACUAGCACAAAAACCAGAGCAAGCAUUCCCCUACUCAGUGAUAAGGAUGAAAAUUUGACAAGACAGGAAAGGGCAGACUAAAUAUACUGAUAGUGUUUCAAAGAUCUCGUUUCUAAGGGGAAAGCUCAGCGGUGAUGAAUUACAAAGGCAAAAUAUUAGGCAUCUGACCUAGGGCCUCAGUACAUAUAUUCUAACAUGUUCAAUCAAAGUGCAAACUGAGGGAUUCCUUGUUUCUUAGAGUAGGUUGAGAAGCUAAGGUGUCUAGGGCAGUAGAAGAGAUUCAUGUUGUUGGUGCCUUCUAGGUAUGGCAUUGACAAAAUGUCACUGGAGCAGUUUCCUCUAGCAAGUAAAGCAAAAUAAGAAAUGAAGGGGAUGGGUAAUUCAACCCAUACUGUUCAGUCCAUCAUGUUCUAGGAGUGAGAGCUUCAUGCAAGUAUCUGAUUUGAAAGCAUCUUCUUUCUAUUGCUGUCAUCUUGUCCAUUUGGAAAUCUUCAGAGGCCUUUCUGGGAUAUGCCAGCAUUUAAAAUCUGUUUUCGAAGAACAUGGUACUUAAAAGUUAAGUAUGAAGAUCUGCUCAUUUAGACCUAAUGACCAAAAGUGCAAAUAUCUCACUUAAUCAUGAAGUGGGAGGUCUGUGAUCUACCUGUGUGAUAGUGGAUGAUGAAUCAAAAUUGACUGACUGCCUUCUGGGCAGUCCUAAAACAAAGCAUCAACUGUGAUUGGUAGGUAUAAAAUUAGGGGAAGACACGGGAAAUGAUGCAAAAGAAGCAUCUUGAAAAGGAUCUAUUACUUCCUGUGAGAAUUCAAUUCUUCAUGCUUUCGAGUUGAGGUUGGUGAAGAGGGGAAGAAGUAUGUGGUGACUGGCCUGACAUAUGGUGAGUGAAAAAGCUGACUCUUAACUGCAUGUUUUUUUCUAAAGAGUCUGGCCUCAGGAAAGACCUAUUACCCUUGAGAAACUUCCUGAGUCCUUAGCUUUGCUGAGGCUGGAUGAAACCAAUUCUCCCUGCCUGAAGGGACUGGGAGUAAAUUACUAAAUGCUCAGGCUAGAUAUCUUACCUUAUCUUUUCUCUGAUUUCUUACUUUACUCUUUCUACAUUUUGUAAAUAAAUUGUAAAAAAAUCUCUUUGGAAUUAAUUAA
rnacentral:lncRNA from 1 species